CUCCAGACCUCGUUCGAUCAUCGAAGUUAAGCAAUGUCGAGUCCGUUUAGUACUUAGAUGGGUAACCGCUUGGGAACACCGGGUAUUGUAU